rnacentral:rRNA from 1 species
UACGAAGGGGGGCUAGCGUUGUUCGGAUUUACUGGGCGUAAAGCGCACGUAGGCGGAUCGAUCAGUCAGGGGUGAAAUCCCCAGGGCUCAACCCUGGAACUGCCUUUGAUACUGUCGAUCUGGAGUAUGGAAGAGGUGAGUGGAAUUCCGAGUGUAGAGGUGAAAUUCGUAGAUAUUCGGAGGAACACCAGUGGCGAAGGCGGCUCACUGGUCCAUUACUGACGCUGAGGUGCGAAAGCGUGGGGAGCAAACAGG